rnacentral:rRNA from 1 species
CACGUAGGGCGCAAGCGUUGUCCGGAAUUAUUGGGCGUAAAGAGCUCGUAGGCGGACUGUCACGUCUGCUGUGAAAAGCUGGGGCUUAACCCUGGCCUUGCAGUGGAUACGGGCAGACUAGAGGUAGGUAGGGGAGAAUGGAAUUCCUGGUGUAGCGGUGAAAUGCGCAGAUAUCAGGAGGAACACCGGUGGCGAAGGCGGUUCUCUGGGCAUUACCUGACGCUGAGGAGCGAAAGUGUGGGGAGCGAACAGG